UUUCAUACUUUACCAACAAAAGGACUUUCAGAGCAGCAAUAUACAGAUAUGUGAUAUUAGAGGUCAAACAGACAGAGGUCAAACAGACAGAGGUCAAACAGACAGAGGUCAAACAGACAGAGGUCAAACAAUAACACAUACAGAUAUGGAAUAUUAGACAGAGGUCAAACAGACAGAGGUCAAACAGACAGAGGUCAAACAAUAACACAUACAGAUAUGGAAUAUUAGACAGAGGUCAAAUGUCCAAAUAGCUGUUCCCUAUAGGUCAGUGGCUGUACCCUAUAGGUCAGUGUACCCUAUAGGUCAGUGGCUGUACCCUACAGGUCAGUGUACCCUACAGGUCAGUGUACCCUACAGGUCAGUGUACCCUAUAGGUCAGUGUACCCUACAGGUCAGUGUACCCUACAGGUCAGUGUACCCUAUAGGUCAGUGUACCCUAGAGGUCAGUGUACCCUACAGGUCAGUGUACCCUACAGGUCAGUGUACCCUAUAGGUCAGUGUACCCUACAGGUCAGUGUACCCUACAGGUCAGUGUACCCUAUAGGUCAGUGUACCCUACAGGUCAGUGUACCCUACAGGUCAGUGUACCCUAUAGGUCAGUGUACCCUAUAGGUCAGUGUACCCUACAGGUCAGUGUACCCUACAGGUCAGUGUACCCUAUAGGUCAGUGUACCCUAUA